AUUGAACGCUGGCGGCAGGCCUAACACAUGCAAGUCGAGCGAGCGGCGGACGGGUGAGUAAUGUAUGGGGAUCUGCCCGAUAGAGGGGGAUAACUACUGGAAACGGUAGCUAAUACCGCAUACUAUCGGAUGAACCCAUAUGGGAUUAGCUAGUAGGUGAGGUAAUGGCUCACCUAGGCGACGAUCCCUAGCUGGCCUGAGAGGAUGAUCAGCCACACUGGGACGUAGACGCGACCCAGACUCCUACGGGAGGCAGCAGUGGGGAAUAUUGCAAGAUGGGCGCAGGCCUGAUACAGCCAUGCAGCGUGUAUGAAGAAGGCCUUCGGGUUGUAAAGUACUUUCAGCGGGGAGGCGUUACCCGCAGAAGAAGCACCGGCUAACUCCGUGCCAGCCGCCGCGGUAAUUC
rnacentral:rRNA from 1 species